rnacentral:rRNA from 1 species
UGUGUAGGCGGCUCUCUAAGUUUGGUGUGAAAUCUCCCGGCUCAACCGGGAGGGUGCGCCGAAAACUGGAGGGCUAGAGUGCGGGAUGGGAGAGUAGAAUUCCUGGUGUAGCGGUGAAAUGCGUAGAUAUCAGGAGGAAUACCGGUGGUGUAGACGGCUCUCUGGACCGCAACUGACGCUGAAACACGAAAGCGUGGGUAGCAAACAGGAUUAGAUACCCUGGUAGUCCACGCCCUAAACGAUGCAUAUUUGGUGUAGGUCAUUCAGUUGAUCUGUGCCGGAGCUAACGCGUUAAAUAUGCCGCCUGGGGAGUACAGUCGCAAGGCUGAA